rnacentral:rRNA from 1 species
UACGGAGGGUGCGAGCGUUGUCCGGAAUCACUGGGCGUAAAGGGCGCGUAGGCGGCGCGGGGAGUCAACGGUGAAAGCUCGGCGCUCAACGCCGAGUCGGCCGUCGAUACUCCCGUGCUCGAGCACUGUAGAGGCAGGUGGAAUUCCGGGUGUAGCGGUGGAAUGCGUAGAUAUCGAGAGGAACACCAGAGGUGAAGACGGGUUGCUGGGCCGACACUGACGCUGACAGCGCGAAAGCCAGGGGAGCAAACGGG